ensembl:lncRNA
GUACUGAUGCUUUACAUAUGUGUGCCAAUUUUCGUGCAUGUACGUGAAACACAGCUCGAGGGCUGUUGAUUUUUUUUACGAUAGGUGGCGCUGUCGAGCCAUUUUGCCACACCCUCUUCUGAAACCUAUAUCAGACGUAAAUUUUCACCAGGUCUGACGCGUGUGCAAAGUUUCAGGACUUUUCGAGUAUGUUUAGGCCCUCAAAAAUGCGAUUCAUUUUGGAGAAGAAGAAGAAGAAGAAGAAGAAGAAUAAACGAAGCAGAUACAAGAGGGUCCUCACACCAUCGGUGCUCGGGCCCUAAAUAUAGCUGCAAGCAGCGAUGGCGGGCUCAAGCCAUCAGCGCAAACGCCACCCCGGUGGCAUCAGGUAAACUGUGCCCAGCGGGCACAUGCAUUUACAGUAACCCUCUGGCACUCAGGUUUUAAGGGAUACGGCAAUUAACAGGUUAAUCCGAAGCAUCAAGACUUUGAAAUCACAUUCACAGAACAAUAUUCAUUAAGAAAGUGAAAUUAAAUGAUUAAUAAACUAUUUAUUCGAACCCUUGACAAAAGGUGGCGCUGUAGAGUGCCUCCUCCACGCCCUUUCAUGUGCUUUUGCCAUUGUCUAUAUAUCAUUAAUACUGAUAUGUGUUUUGAGUUUCAUGUAAUUCUGAGCAUUUUAUCUGCCUCAAAAUCACUAGAACAGAAUAUUCAAGAUUGACACGUUGCCACGGCAACACUAUAUUAGAUAUCAAUAUCCCCACAACAGAUUUACAUCGGCCGUGUUUUGUCA